UACGGAGGGGGCAAGCGUUGUUCGGAAUUACUGGGCGUAAAGCGCGCGUAGGCGGUUUUCCAAGUUAGGCGUGAAAGCCCUGGGCUCAACCCGGGAAUUGCGCUUAAUACUGGAUGACUUGAGGCCGGGAGAGGGUAGUGGAAUUCCCAGUGUAGAGGUGAAAUUCGUAGAUAUUGGGAAGAACACCAGUGGCGAAGGCGGCUACCUGGACCGGUACUGACGCUGAUGCGCGAAAGCGUGGGGAGCAAACAGG
rnacentral:rRNA from 1 species